rnacentral:rRNA from 1 species
UACGUAGGAUGCAAGCGUUGUCCGGAAUUAUUGGGCGUAAAGAGCGCGCAGGCGGUAUGACAAGUCAGAUGUGAAAGAGGCCGGCUUAACCGGCAAGGGUCAUUUGAAACUGUCAGACUAGAGUGCGGCAGAGGAUAGUGGAAUUCCCGGUGUAGUGGUGAAAUGCGUAGAUAUCGGGAGGAACACCAGUGGCGAAGGCGACUAUCUGGGCUGCAACUGACGCUGAGGCGCGAAGGCUAGGGUAGCAAACAGG